CUUUUCAAUACUCCUUAUCAAUACUAUUUUCCUCUCAUUCUCUCUUCUCCAUUCAUUCUAUUUGCUCCCUUCUCUACACACAUUUCCAGCGAAAGACAUUUCCUGAUUCUCCUUCUCCCAUUCCAAGCACCUUCCACAGGGUGAAAAAACAUGUCAGGGCCACCAAUAUUUGUCGCUAAUUUGAAGCCUGAACAUAACGUUUGGAAACUUGUUAUCCGCAUCGUCGAUCUAUGAUUUGUAAAGGAACGAAACAUCCAGCAACAUCUUGAAGCUAUUAUACAAGAUGCAAAGGGUGACCAAAUCCACGUCGCUACCGGUCCCGAGAACUUGAAAUAUGGAAAAACACCUUAUAGGAACAUCAAACCUACAGGGUGACAACAAGCUCCAACCUUACUACAAACAGGUGUCCAUUAUCAAGCUUACUCAAGACCGGGAAGUAAUAUCCAUAUGAUUGAGGAUGCCAUAAAUCCUACUCUGGUAUUACUUCUGACUUUAUACAAAAAGGCAAUAGUUCCCAAAGAAGACCUACACGACAAUAACACCCUUACUCAAGCAUCCAAUUCCACUGUAUGUAUUUAUGCAUUCCUUUAUGUACCAUUAUUAACAACAUGACCUUUUUAUUAGAACUAACUCUACAACAUGUCAUCUUAUUUUGUAAUGAAGAUACAAUUAAUUUGGAAUACCUGCUAUAUUCAUUGUGAUGAAUUUAUCCGACUUCUAUUUUGUAAUGAAGAUACAAUUAAUUUGGAAUACCUGCCAUAUGGUCAGGUGGUAGCAGGAAUUGCUAUGAAUAUGUACUUAACCCCUAGGUACAUACUGUUUCCAUUUUAUGAGAAAUACAUCCAAACUUAAAAACCUCUAAAUACUUAUUUCUCAUAAAGACCAUACACCUCUUUAUUUCCAGGACAAUUACAACAUUCCCAACAUUUUUUAGAAUUUAUUGUCUAAACCGGGUCAUUGAGCAGAAAUGCUAGACAAUGCAUUCCUCAACUUUUUUUAGAAUUUCCAAUCAUGCAUAACAAUGCUUUUUCUUUAACAGAUGCUUAUAUCCGCAACAACUUUAGCAUAUUCACGUGUUCAUUAUUUAAUAACACUUAACUCACAUCAUAUGUACUUCAUUUUUACAUUUCUAUAGAGCCUAUUGAUAUCACAGUGCCAUGUCCCAUCAAAUGUUAUUACUUUUCACCUAUUAAUACUUUAUUAUGCAUUGCCGUAAUUCUGGAGGCUUUUUUCUACCGGGCCUACAACACAACAUGGUUAUAUGUAUUUGGAUGCGACUGUAAGAUACGACUAUCAGUGCAGGUCCUAUUUUUUUUAUUUAUUUUGAGCAAUAAGUCAAAAUAUGAAUUAUUUAUAUUGAUACCAUGUUCAGUCAUUUCUCUUUCCUUAGCCAGCUUUUCAUAUUUGAUAAAGCCUAGGUAAGUAGUAGUACAUUACUAUAUGGUUUCAUAAAGUUCUUUAUAGAAGUAAUCAUCACUAUUUAAAGGAAUGCUUCUGUAUCUAUCUAUAAGAUUUCCUAUUGUAUUACACUUCAUCAAUUUCAAUCACUACUCAGCAUUUUCCAAGAAAAGUUUCAUGAUAAUGUCUUUUGUGGAACCAAACAGAUAUUGAAAUAGUUGAUUUGGACACUAGAAAAUGAUAUGGUUAUGAAAUACUCCAAGCAAAGAGGAUGUGUUUGAGAAGUUCAUCGGUAAAGCUUGGUAUAGUUUUGCCAAGACAAGAAGAAGUAGGAAAGGUGUUGUGUUGGGUUUCACUCUUAUAAAUCCUCACCAAAGGUUGUAUGUGUACUUGAAGAAUCGAUAUUGAAAGUUUCAUGUCCGUGGUGUCAUUUUGAAGUAUCUUUAAAGUGUAUGGUCUCAUUUCCAGGAAACUUAGACGUUUGUGUUGAUAUUUUGACGAAACGGUAGUGGUUUUGUAAUGUCGUAUACUUGAUAAAUAGUUUAUAUAUGGGAAUAUACCAUGAUGACUAAUCAUUGAACCAUAUAUAUUAACAUUCACAAAAAUUUAUA